AAAAAGAGUUAUUUGGUUAAUAACCACUUGGAUUUUCUGCCGAAUUCUUAAUUCAAAUUUGAAAUGUACAACGAUUCAUUCGAUAGCUUUUUUUUUUCUAAUAAAAAGGGGUCUAUUUCUGCCCGAACAUUCCAUAAAAAUGAAAUAGAUUUCCAUGUUAGGGAAAUUUCCUAUUUA